GUGACAUGUCACUCACUCAGGAAACUAAACAGGGCCCAGCACAGUGCCAGGCAUGGACUGGAUGCAGUAGGAGGGACAGUCCUAUUCCCUAUCCCCAGCACCUCUCACAAACUAAUCAGCCCCGUGAAGGGAUGGCACCUGUGUUUCUUAUGGAGGGGGAUAUGCAAAACAGAGUGACAUUUCUGUUUCUAUCUGCCCACCUCUGCCCAGGCUGUACACAGAUACCAUCUGCCUCCCCCUGUCCCUGCUCCUCUCCCACCACUCCCAGAGACAGCAUCUGUUCAGACCCCAAUGGCCACAGGGCUUUGGAUCCACCUCCUUUUCAUCACAGCAGCUCUGGUGUCCGGUCUCAGGUGCAGCUGGUGGAGUCUGGAGGGGCCUUGAGGGAGCCUGGAGACUCUCUGUGCCUCACCUGCACAGGCUCGGGAUUUGAUUUCAGGAGAUACGGCAUGGACUGGGUCCAACAGGCUCCUGGGAAGGGGCUGGAGUGGGUUGCAGUUAUCUAUUCAGACAGCAGUAAAGAAUACAAUGCAGACCCUGUGAAAGGACGAUUCACCAUCUCCUGAGACAACUCCAAGAGCCAGGCACACUUGGACAUGAGCAGCCUGAGACAUGAGGACCCUGCUAAGUAUUACUGUGCAGCUCACAGCAGUGAAAUAUCCAUCUCAGCUCAUACAAAAAGUUCCUCUUGCCUUGAAAGUAACAGUCACAUGGUGACACCCACGGUCUUUAAACUACAACUCUCAAUGGAGAAAAAGAAGCUCUGACUGCUCUCCUCCAUUUAUGCAUAAGGAAAUAGCAUGUUAUUGCAAGGAAAAAAAACCUGUACAAACACAUAGGGUCCAUUCACAGAUGGACCAGAUGCUUUCUUCUUCCUUCUGCUUCAUCCACAAAGCUCACAGCCCCCAACUGAUGAACCAAAAUGACCCAGGUCCCCCAGAUAAGGACACAGUCAUCUAAGGUCAGAUUGAGCAAAACCUUGAUAAUUUCAUCCAGAAUAUUUACACCAAGAGGAUAAACCUGAUGGAGAAGGCUCAGGCUUCCUCUUGAGAGGACUGAGAAACCCAGAUCUUUACUAUGGUCUCCCCCUUUCUCCAUCACCCUCUGAUGUCAGUAAGCAAGACCAGGUGUUCUGGGAUUGGUGCUGGGACAGGGUGGGGACCCCUCGCCCAAAAGUAACUGGGCCUCUGAGCUGUACCUAGCCCCACCCGGCCCCGAUCUGAAAGACUGGAUUGUACGGUGGCAACAGUGCACCUACACUUGCAGUAUUUCCCACUCACAUCUCUUAGGGACUGCCAUCACCUAGACUCCCUCCCCUCCCCAACCCAGACUGCACCCCUCUGCCAGGCCCUGAGCUCUGAAUUACUCACUGUGCAGGGACUACAUCUCAUGUUAAUGCUGUCUCAGCCAAGCCCAUAGCCCAUGUACAAACCUGAGCACUCCCUCUUCUCUCUCAGCCUCCCCCACCCAUCUCUGCCUUGCCUGGAGACCAGAGAUCCACUGUCUGCCUCAGGGCUCUCUCCAUCUCUGCACACAUGGCACCAAUCAAAGCUGUGGAUAGUGGCUGGGGGCUGACAUUCAAACCCCCUCCCAUCCCAUAACUGGAACCUUGACAUUGGAGAGCAUAUCCGAGCCCAGGGAGACCCUGUGCCUGCUGCCUUGCCAGUCAAUGGACCCAGGUACACAUGGGGGGGGGCUCCAGCGUAGGGUUACCAUAUGUCUGGGUUUUCGCAGAUAUGUCCUCUUUUGUGGCCCCCUGAGCUGCGUCUGGGUGGGUUUUUAAAAAGCAGAUAAAUGUCUGGGUUUUUUGCUGUUCCUCUGCUCUCCAAGAUGGGCUGUUUGAGGCAAGGUGAUUGCCAGUUGGGGGUCACAUGCUCCCCGUCCCAGCUCCAGCAAGGUAAAGAAAGAGAGAGACCAGGCACACAUGUAAUGCGGGAGCUGCUUGGGCAGCAGGGCUGGUGGGGUGGGCAGAGGUGUGCGGUUCAGGACUGAGGAGCACCAGCAGGAUUGGGGGGGCAGAGGCUGUGGGUCCAGUGUGGGAUACUGGCAGUGCUGGAGGGGCAGGGGCUUCAGGUCAGGAGUGAGGGGCACCAGCACAGGGUGGGGGGCAGGGUACUGCUGUUUGGGAGUGAGGGGCUGGGGUCAGUGGGUCCAGAGUGAGGGGCAGCAGCAGGGCUUGAGAGGUGGUGGCUUGUCAGUGAGCAGAAUGGGCAGGGGCAGGGCACCAGCUUGUCACUGCCUCCCACCCCCACCCCCUUGGAAAAUCUCACCCUCUGCCGUGCCUUGUCUCCCUACUAGAUGCUAUACAAGAACCACCUGCUACCACUUCCCCUUAAACACUCCCAUCCCCAAAUUUCCUCUCCCGUCCAUCUCAUCCGAGGAAACCAGCACCCACCUACUGCCCACAGAGGUGAAGAGGAGGCUGUGUACAAUCAGUGCCAUGAAGCCUUGUCUGGGAGUGGCUGCAAUACACCAGGUAGCAGGGCCUGACACCCCUGUUCACACCCCAGCACAAUCUGUUCCCACCAUGAGAAGAAAGCAGCUGUGCUGCUUAUAGGGUCAGCGAGAUGCAAAUCAGAGGCAGGCCGUCCCAUAUAAAGCUGUGUGUCUGGCUUACCGGGAUGUACCCACAGAGGCAACCCAAAGCCUGUGGGGUCUGUGCAGUGACUGGCCAUCACCUCCAGAGCUUCACCUCCACAACCAACAAAGAUGGGACCUGGACUCCACCUCCUUGUCCUGGCAGCAGUGCUGGAAGGUGUCUGGUCCCAGGUGCAGCUGGUAGAGUCUGGAGGAGAUGUGAGAAAACCUGGAGACUCUCUGCGCCUCUCCUGCAAAGCCUCUGGAUUCACCGUCAGUAGCUACGAGAUGAACUGGGUCCACCAGGCUCCUGGGAAGGGGCUGGAGUGGGUUGCUUUUAUUAGCACAUCCUCCUCUCCUAUAUACUAUGCUGACAGUGUUAAGGGGCGAUUCACCAUCUCCAGAGAUGACUCCAGCAGCCUCUUGCACCUGCAGAUGAACAGCCUGAGAGCAGAGGACACGGCCCGGUAUUACUGUGCUAGAGACACAGUGAAGCAAAUCCUAUUAGAGCUAAUGCAAAAAACCCUGAGCACAAACUCAACUUGUGCCCUGUGCCACAGGAGGCUGCAGGGACCAGAGCAGCACAAGGCCAGGCCCAGCGCUGGAGGGAGCCUACCUGUUGGUGUCAAGAGUUAACACUUACUUUGACUGCACCAGUCACACAUUCCUCUGCAUGGGGUUACUGGUUGCACUGGUCACCAGACUCAGCACUGGAGCCAGUCCUGAUGGGAGGGCAAGGGCAGGGGCUGCACUCCUAGGUCUCUCUAGUGAGAAGCCUGGGGACUCUCAGCUUCUCCCCUCCGUCAGGCAGCUGCCCCAUCUGCAGCUGCUGUAAAGCUCUCUGGAAAAUAAGUUUUGCAGAGUCAAGACUAAGUAACAGUUCACAGUGCCCCACUCACCCUGCACUACGCAGCACCUUCAGAGAUGGCCCUGGCCCUGCCUCUGGGUUGAGGAGGUGGAAGAGGGGACACCUCCCUAUUGCUGCUGUAACAGAGUUACUCAAUGGGGAGCUGCCCUGGAAAUUUUUGGCAAACAUAUUUGCAUCCUGUCCACCAGAGAACACCACCAAGGCCCUGACUGACCCUGUGAUUUUGCAGAUGCACUGCAGACAUCCCUCCCUGGAAUUACCCAGCUCAUAACCCAUUGCAACGGGGUUUUACUGGAGUCUGGAAGCAAAACCCCCAGCUCAACCUUGGACCGGGCACCUGAGAAUAGAGAGAGACAUGGGAAUGCAACUAGACAGACAUCUGCGCUGACUGGAGGCCUGACAGAGCUAUCCCCAAGAUAGUUUCUUUGCCUCUGUUUUCUUGAACAGGGACCGGGGUAUCCCACCUACCAGACGUAGGGACUAUUUAAAAUAUCAGCUUUCUUGU